ensembl:lncRNA
GCGACUUGCCCAGUGCUACCCCCAGCCAGGGUUGCCAGGUUCCCUCGACAAAACCUGCUCGAUCGCGUUUCGAGGGGGUCCCCAUUAAAAAUCGCGUUCCAGGAGUAAAAUACACAUUUUUGGUAAGAUUCACAGUCCAGGGGCUAAAUAUCACGUUAUUGAGGUCACUUUAACCAGCGGACAUGAAAAACAACCCGCAACAACAGUGUUAAAGUAGCCCACUACCCCCAGUAUUUAGCUGGGAAUUUCCAAGGUAUGAAAGUGAAAUUAAAUGAAAAGAAAAUGACAGCCGCAGUCACCGGCGCCUACAGCAGAUCUUGUUGCUAAUCUACUAAAUGCCUUUUUCAAGGCGCUCUUUUGCAGACAAAAGAGGAAUAACUGAAAAAGGAUAAACUACUCAAACUGAAUUCGCUAACAAAGGUUUUGUGCGCCAUUUCUAAGAUUGCAACUAUGAGUGGCUAACAACUAGCACCGAGCACAAGGAGUUAUUUGGCCAUGUUUACUUUUUAAUAUGAGUAAAUGGAUAUGGGAUGACAGACGCACAGACUUUAUUUACAAGUGACAGGUGAGUGGUUUAUUGUUUGAUGAGUAUUGAAUCAUGCACAUGCAGUUUACAGUUGCUUACUGAAGGCCCUGACUGAAACCCCACGGAACGCUACACUAUCAAAACCAGUAGGAGUCUCUCUUCGACCAAAUCUAAGUGGGACAGGCUUUAUGCUUCUUAAAGAAUGCUGGGAAUUCAUUUGUUAUGGGUGGUUUAUUCUGAACGUCAUUCAGAGAACUCCAGCACUGAAACAUCAACAUGACAUUUACAGUGUGUUUGAUUUUUUUCACAGCACUGCUAUUCUUGGUCUCAGGGGAAUCAUUAAGUGACAAAGUUAAUCAAACUCCAAAAGACAAGCUGGUUAAAGCUCAAGAACCUGUUACACUCACCUGCUCUCAUACAAUACCAAACUAUAACAUGAUAUUAUGGUAUGAGCAGGUGAUAGGUGCUCUAAAUCUUAUUGGAUAUGUGCGUUUAACAAGCGCAUCCACUGAAGUCCAAUACACAAAUCAGUUCAUUAUUAAAGGAGAUGGUGAAAAGUCCUCUACACUUGAGUUCAAGCUGAAUGCAUCUGGGAGUUCUGUUAUGUAUUACUGUGCUGCCAGCAAAGCACAGUGUUAGAGAUCAUUUCAUCUGCCUACAAAAACCUCUGUUACCACAAACCAACAA